rnacentral:rRNA from 1 species
UACGUAGGAUCCAAGCGUUGUCCGGAUUUACUGGGUGUAAAGCGUGCGCAGGCGGUUUGUUAAGUCCGUUGUGAAAGCCCCGAGCUCAACUUGGGAAUUGCAGUGGAUACUGGCAGGCUGGAGUACGGUAGAGGAAGGUGGAAUUCCCGGUGUAGCAGUGAAAUGCGUAGAUAUCGGGAGGAACACCAGUGGCGAAGGCGGCCUUCUGGACCAGUACUGACGCUCAUGCACGAAAGCGUGGGGAGCAAACAGG